rnacentral:lncRNA from 1 species
AAUUCUGUGUUCCUGAACAACAUCUAGGAUCAGUAUCAGUUGCUUGGCAGCAGCCAACAGGAGCCUGUUAUUUCCAAUUCUUGAUCUCACCCAAAGCCUCAGCCUCCUUGCCGUACGCUGCAUCUUGGUGUGCAAUCUGAGGAAAGGGUUAUGCAGUGACUAGUGCUUGUUCCAGAUGUCACUUACUUCCUCUCUAAAUCCUCUCAUUUUCAGCCAAAAUGAUUCAA